GUAGGUGGCAAGCGUUGUCCGGAAUUAUUGGGCGUAAAGCGCGCGCAGGCGGUUCUUUAAGUCUGAUGUGAAAGCCCACGGCUCAACCGUGGAGGGUCAUUGGUAACUGGAGAACUUGAGUACAGAAGAGGAAAGCGGAAUUCCACGUGUAGCGGUGAAAUGCGUAGAGAUGUGGAGGAACACCAGUGGCGAAGGCGGCUUUCUGGUCUGUAACUGACGCUGAGGCGCGAAAGCGUGGGGAGCAAACAGGGAUUAGAUACCCUGGUAGUCCACGCCGUAAACGAUGAGUGCUAAGUGUUAGGGGGGUUUCCGCCCCCUUAGUGCUGCAGCUAACGCAUUAAGCACUCCGCCUGGGGAGUACGGCCGCAAGGCUG
rnacentral:rRNA from 1 species